rnacentral:rRNA from 1 species
GAUGAACGCUGGCGGCGUGCCUAAUACAUGCAAGUCGAGCGAACAGACGAGGAGCUUGCUCCUCUGACGUUAGCGGCGGACGGGUGAGUAACACGUGGAUAACCUACCUAUAAGACUGGGAUAACUUCGGGAAACCGGAGCUAAUACCGGAUAAUAUAUUGAACCGCAUGGUUCAAUAGUGAAAGACGGUUUUGCUGUCACUUAUAGAUGGAUCCGCGCCGCAUUAGCUAGUUGGUAAGGUAACGGCUUACCAAGGCAACGAUGCGUAGCCGACCUGAGAGGAGGAUCGGCCACAGUGGAACUGAGACACGGUACAGAGUCCUACGGGAGGCAGCAGUAGGGAAUGGUGAGGAAUGGGCGCAAGCCUGAUGCAGUAAUGCAGAGUGAAUGAAGAAGGCCGUAGGAUUGUAAAAUUGUUUUAGGGGGGGAGAACGGAAUAAAGCGAAUACCUGCGCUCCUUGACGUGACCUAAUCAGAAAGCCACGGCUAACUCCGCG